rnacentral:tRNA from 1 species
AGGGGCGUAGCUCAAUGGUAGAGCUCUAGUUUUGGGAAUUAGUGAUGAAGGUUCGAUUCCUUCCGACCCGA